rnacentral:lncRNA from 1 species
UAUUUGUGAACAGAGGGAGUACUAAAUAAAAUUAAAAGCAUGGAAGCAAAACCGGAAAUAAUUGUUGAAAAGGAAGCAAACAUUCAGAUCUAUAAUUUGAUUGUAAUAUUUACAAGAUAAAUGAAAUCCAUGUUAGAACUAAAUUGUAAUGUGCUCCGAACGAAAACAAACAUGUAUAAGAGAAAGGGGCAACCACAUUUAGCUUGUACAGUAUCUUGAGCUUUUACACCCCCAACCCACUUCUCGUCAACAGUGCAUGAGAGACAUCUCUUCCUCUCACAUCAAUUGCAUCUUGUUCAAACUCCAAUCCUCAUGGUCCAAUCUUUCGAUGCCUCAGACACCAGAUUUGAAGCUCUGAGGUGGGGAAGAUGUUGGUUUGGGCACCAUUGCCUCCUUUAUCCUAGGGCAAACAGAGUGGCCAGAUGUUGAUGUGAGAAAGAAAAUUCACCAGUGGGAAUAACAGGCACCCCAACGCUACAUCCCAAUGCCAUCUGCCCUUUAAUUUGAACUCAAACCAGCCUGGAGGAAGGGGACGGAAUCUACCAAGGCACUGGUGAAGGAUAGCAAUCCUAGCAAGGCCUUGAGUUAUGUCCGUCACCAGGCUAUAUAAUGCUUGUCCUCUGUGUGUCAGUGUUUCCUUGCUAAAGCCAGCAGCAUGAGCCAAGAAUGGCACUAUCCAGGAACCCACAAGCCAAAAUGUCGCAAUCCACAAAAACAUGACUUGUAUUCAUAAAAUAUAACUGGGUACCAUUAAUAUCAAAUUCAUGUAAAGUGCAAAGAGAUCAUUAUAUUCAAAUCAACAUUCCCUGUUUAACUGACAUCUUUAGAAAGACAACCAAUAACCAACAGGAAUAGUCAUCCAUUCCUUUCUAUUAUAUAUGUACAUAAUAUGCUACACAUGCAUCAUAACUUAUUUUUCUUUAAGGGGGCAUAUUUUUAUACCCAGCCUGUUUGGAGUGGCCCCUGUGUUAUGAUUGUGACUUUAAUCCCACAUUAGAAUUAGAAGCCUAAAGGUGAGUGACACGAUAAUGUAAUUCUUCUUCUGUCGUCCCCAUCCCUGUUAGCCCUUUAACAAGAGGAAGCGACAAAAUUCUAAGUGAGGUGAUAUGCAUGAAUAACAUGUCCCACACAGGAGCUGAGUUGGGGACGACACAAAAAAAUAAAAAAAGAACAUUAUGGUAAUGCAGAGUACCUUGUUAUAACUUAUAAGAUCUCCUACAGAGUAAGAAAAUCAUAGGUGGACACAUAAGGGCAAUAUUAAUAUCUGUCUAGUGUCUCAUAUCAUAUUCGAAAUAAAGUAUCAACAUGGGUUUGACAUCUUAUAUAUCAGAUUCACAUUUGAUAUGUCUAUGUCCAUAUAGAGAAAAUCUAACGGAACAGGGACGAAUUACGUUAUGAGAAAAACAACAACUGGCCCUACAUCCCGUAGGAUAUCCAGAAGAUAUCUGCUGAAUUAGUAAAAUGGAUAUCCGAUAAGACCAAAACUUAAUAGAAUGAGUAGAGAACUAACCUGGGCAAUUGUUUGUCCAGUCCAAGGUACCGCCCAGCGCCCAUUCCAAAAUCUGAAUAUUGUUUCCUGUAGAUUUUCCUUUAUCUGUGACAUAUAUUCAGAAUUCUCAUUGAUUCACAUGACAAAGUCGAAGUCUUAAAAAUGAAAACGAGUAGCAGUUGAUAUCUGCUCCCUCCGUUUCGAAUUAUAAGACGUUCUAAUUUUUUUUCUAAAUCGGGUGUAUACAUAUGUGUUUUAGUGUGUUUGUUCGCUCAUUUCAGUCCGUAUAUAGUCCAUAUUGAAAUAUCCUAAACGUCCUAUAAUUAGGAACAGAGGUAUUAGCAAAUUAGACACAAGUGGGAAUAACAGGCACCCCAACGUUUAGGAUAUAUCUCACUUCAACAUGAGCCUAAAACACAUGGGCUCCUCGUACAUCGAUAAUCAAUGCCGGCCAGUUUGGUUGAUAGUAAUGCCACCAUGGCCCUACAAAAAUAUGGACAAAGUAACAUUAAAAUAUUAUCUUUUUUGUGAAAAAGGAGAAUGUAGCAUUAAAACGGAGUGGAGAAACACAUUAUGCAGUGAUGAACAAGACUUUUCCUUAAGUGGAACAACAGAAAAAAAAAUCAGUGAAAUGGAAACCAAUGAAUGACUAUCUAACAGUUAAUUUACUUCUGUACUAAUUGAUAAGCAUAUUGUCUAGUUAAUGGGUGCAAAUGACUUGCUGACAUCAAAGCUGGCAAAAUCUUAAACAACUACAUGCCAUUUUAGUCUUAAACAAAACAAAGAAAGCAGAUGUGUGACUGUAAGGUAUGCAUUCAUUACCCAGCUCAUUAUGAACUUGCAACCAAAUAUAUGGUUCAGUAGGAUGUUCAUAAGAUUUGUCAAUAUGUUAGAGCUAACUAUUCUGUGCAUCAAGCUAUGCAUAUACAGCAAUAAAAAACAUUCCUUUUGUGCAUAAGAAGUUAAGCCAAUGAUGUAUCUCAUAGUACUUACUAUGUAAAUUAGGAACUACUUGAUAUACUGUAUGCACAAGAUGCCAUCAAUUUCAGAAUAAAAAAAUAGAGUGCAUUGUAGCACGUCCUUGCAUCUGAACCAAUCUGAUAUCAGAAGUACUUACUAUGUAAAUUAGAAACUACUUGAUAUAUUGUAUGCACAAGAUGCCAUCAAUUUCAGAAUAAAAAAUAGAGUGCAUUGUAGCACGUCCUUGCAUCUGAACCAAUCUGAUAUCAGAAAAAGGCAUGCUAAUUUAUUUAUGGGCGACAUAUGAAUGAGAAGGGAAAACAUUUGGGGACAGUUUUCGCUAGUUCAUUCUAUAAUCAACGCAUAGUUUAUUUAUUAUGUCCAGUGAUCUCAUUUUGGAAGGGCUUGGGAGUUUCUAUAAAAAUCUUGCACACAUGCUUUGAUUUUCGCUUCCAAUUUGGUUGGAAACUAAUAACUUUGGCCAUCUGCAAUAGAAACGGUAGUGCAGAUCAUGAACUUUUUAGUCCAUGUCCUUUACCUCAUAGUGAAAAAGGUAUACUACAGUAAAAAUUGUUGUCAUUUUUUGUUAGUAUAAUCUUGAAAUUUUUAACUGUUUGGUAUGGCUGCUCAGUACUAUCAAACUGUAUUCAUGCAGAAACAUACCAUCUACAUUUACUUAAUAGGGGUAAAAUUAGUGGCAAAGUUACUUUUGCAUCCGAGAGAACUCCCACUUAAACGGUAUUAGUCCCGUGAGGUCAGUGGAACUGAAGAGUGCAAUAUCCAAAUGGGGGAUGAACUGAAGUGUUCAUGCGCACGUACCUCCCAAUGAAGGUAAUGAACACUGCUCACCUUCGUUGUGGAAGAACGACAACUCAAGAUGCAUCGGCAACAAGAUAACCUCUUAAUCUGAGAUAGAUUUAGAUAGAAACUCAGUGACUUUUUCUUGAAUGCAAAGGGUUACUUAAAGUUGCUUAAUCUGAAGAACAAAAGAAAGCGGACUGACACAUGUUGCAGUUUUAGGAAUAGUAGAACGGACUACUUGAGAAAAAAUAACGAAUGCCCAAAACUUAAUUAGGUGCAACAAGAGAAUCUAAGUGUGCACUAAUUAAGGGAUGAAAUACCCAAUGCAUCUGCUCCAAGUGAGAAAAAUUGCUUUUCUUGAUUACAGACUACUAUAGCUUAUAUUUUGAUGAAAGCCAGAAAAAUGAUUUUUGUCAUACCAAAAAAAUCAAUGCUCAUAUACCUGAACCUCACAUCGAUCCUGGAGCCAUGCCCUGCUCUCCUAGUUCCUCCCGAAGUCCAAAAUUAUCGCAGAUCAAAACAACUCCACCUCGACGGCGUUAUUGUGAUUCCCAGUGGUCUCUUCAACCGCUGACCAUUAACGACCAAAAUUAAAUCAGUGAGGAGCAGGGAUGGGGAAGAAGUCACAUGAGCAUGAUAACCCAUCAUCUUAUCACGUGCUUUUCAAGCCCGCAUGGAAACCGGUGAUGUUGCCACCAUGUACGUCCAGCUUCGCCAUCCAACACCAGAUAUCACCAGGUGUCUCUGCACACAAAACAAGACCAAGAUCAAUACAACACACCACAUGCCUGGGAAAUUCGGAACAAGCAAAUCUAAUUCAAACAGAAAAGAACAAGGGGCAUCUUAUUCUAACAAUUCUCAAACAACUCAUAAUUUUGAAAACAGGCAAACAUAUAC